rnacentral:rRNA from 1 species
AUGAACGCUGGCGGCGUGCCUAAUACAUGCCAGUCGAGCGAACAGACGAGGAGCUUGCUCCUCUGACGUUAGCGGCGGACGGGAGAGUAACACGUGGAUAACCUACCUAUAAGACUGGGGUAACUUCGGGAAACCGGAGCUAAUACCGGAUAAUAUAUUGAACCGCAUGGAUCAAUAGUGAAAGACGGUUUUGCUGUCACUUAUAGAUGGAUCCGCGCCGGAUUAGCUAGUUGGUAAGGUAACGGCCUACCAAGGCAACGAUACGUAGCCGACCUGAGAGGAUGAUCGGCCACACUGGAACUGAGACACGGUCCAGACUCCUACGGGAGGCAGCAGUAGGGAAUCUUGCGCAAUGGGCGAAAGCCUGACGGAGCAACGCCGCGUGAGUGAUGAAGGUCUUCGGAUCGUAAAACUCUGUUAUUAGGGAAGAACAAAUGUGUAAGUAACUAUGCACGUCUUGACGGUACCUAAUCAGAAAGCCACGGCUAACUACGUG